rnacentral:rRNA from 1 species
AGUGAACGCUGGCGGUAGGCCUACCCCUGCAAGUCGCACGGCAGCACAGUAAGAGCUUGCUCUUACGGGUGGCGAGUGGCGGACGGGUGAGGAAUACAUCGGAAUCUACUUUUUCGUGGGGGAUAACGUAGGGAAACUUACGCUAAUACCGCAUACGACCUACGGGUGAAAGCCGGGGAUCUUCGGACCUUUCGCGAUUGAAUGAGCCGAUGUCGGAUUAGCUAGUUGGCGGGGUAAAGGCCCACCAAGGCGACGAUCCGUAGCUGGUCUGAGAGGAUGAUCAGCCACACUGGAACUGAGACACGGUCCAGACUCCUACGGGAGGCAGCAGUGGGGAAUAUUGGACAAUGGGCGCAAGCCUGAUCCAGCCAUACCGCGUGGGUGAAGAAGGCCUUCGGGUUGUAAAGCCCUUUUGUUGGGAAAGAAAAGCAGCAGGUUAAUACCCCGCUGUUCUGACGGUACCCAAAGAAUAAGCACCGGCUAACUUCGUG